UACGAAGGGUGCAAGCGUUUCUCGGAAUUACUGGGCGUAAAGCGGGCGUAGGUGGUUUGUUAAGUCUGAUGUGAAAGCCCUGGGCUCAACCUGGGAAUUGCAUUGGAUACUGGCAGGCUAGAGUGCGGUAGAGGAUGGCGGAAUUCCCGGUGUAGCGGUGAAAUGCGCAGAUAUCAGGAGGAACACCCGUAGCGAAGGCGGCACUCUGGGCCGAUACUGACACUGAGGAGCGAAAGCGUGGGGAGCGAACAGG
rnacentral:rRNA from 1 species